rnacentral:rRNA from 1 species
UGGCUCAGAUUAAACGCUGGCGGCAGGCCUAACACAUGCAAGUCGAGCGGUAGCACAAGAGAGCUUGCUCUCUGGGUGACGAGCGGCGGACGGGUGAGUAAUGUUUGGGAAACUGCCUGAUGGUGGGGGAUAACUAGUGGAAACGGUAGCUAAUACCGCAUAAUGUCGCAAGACCAAAGUGGGGGACCUUCGGGCCUCACGCCAUCAGAUGUGCCCAGAUGGGAUUAGCUGUUAGGUGGGGUAAUGGCUCACCUAGGCGACGAUCCCUAGCUGGUCUGAGAGGAUGACCAGCCACACUGGAACUGAGACACGGUCCAGACUCCUACGGGAGGCAGCAGUGGGGAAUAUUGCACAAUGGGCGCAAGCCUGAUGCAGCCAUGCCGCGUGUGUGAAGAAGGCCUUCGGGUUGUAAAGCACUUUCAGCGAGGAGGAAGGGUAAUGUGUU